AUCAGGGAGGCGGAGGAUGAAAUUGACGGCUAUUUCCUUUCCCUGCAGGACCAGGCACCUAAGGAAGAAGCAGCCCGGGGAAUGCCCUCCACAGCAGAGUGGCAGACGGUCACAUCCAGGACCAGAGCUGCUUGCAGCGAACAGGUACCAGUUCCUCCAGUCCAACUGGAGAACAGGUCAAGAGAUCCAAGCGGACCCAGAGGAGGAGGCGACGAGUGCUCGUCAUAGGCGACUCCAUCCUGAGAGGCACAGAAGGGCCCAUCUGUCGCCAGGACCCCUCAACACAAGAGUGAACGGACGCGGAAGACGGCAUGAGAACUGCAUCCAAGAGACCAACUGGCGGCUUCGGCAGUGGUGUCUCGAGGCGGGCUUCGGCUUCCUGGACAACGACCCGCACAUCAGGACGAGGGACAUGCUCAGUUGGGAUGGGCUUCACCUGUCCCCCAAAGGUAAGCAUGUGUUUUCUUCUAGGUUGGCGGAUCUCCUCCGGCGGGCUUUAAACUAGGCUCGCCGGGGGGAGGGGAAGAUGAGGGCGGGGGAAGCUGUGGACCACCAAACCAUGUGGCACCCACAAGGACAACCCAGCCUGAAGAAAGAGAACAUUGGACACCUGCAAGAUGCGGGGCGGCCAGCACUACGGCACAGGACCAGGCACCGAAGGAAGAAGCAGUCCAGGGAAUGCCCUCCACAGCAGAGUGGCAGACGGUCACAAGCAGGACUGGAGCAGCUCGCAGAGAACCAGUACCAGCUUCUCCAGUCCGACUGGUGAAGAGGUCAAGAGAUCCAAGAGGACCCAGAGGAGGAGGCGACGAGCGCUCGUCAUAGGCGACUCCAUCCUGAGAGGUACAGAAGGGUCCAUCUGUCGCCAGGACCCCUCAGCAUGAGAGGUAUACUGCCUCCCUGGAGCAAAGAUUCGGGAUGUGAUGGAGUGAAUGGACGCGGAAGACGGCAUGAGAACUGCAUCCGAGAGACCAACUGGCGGCUUCGGCAGUGGUGUCUCGAGGCAGGCUUCGGCUUCCUGGACAACGACCCGCACAUUACGACGAGGGACAUGCUCAGCUGGGAUGGGCUUCACCAGUCACCCAAAGAGCCAGACACCAGGCAGAGGAGUGGACUGCAGAGGCCCCAAAGCUGAUAUGGAAGGAUGGACGACAGUCACCUCCAGGACCAGGUCACUUGUCACAGAAAUGGAUCCACUGGUACAAGUUGGGGAACAGAUAUGAAGCCCUGGCUGCACUGGAGGAGAGUGCGGUGGAGGAGACGGCAUGGGAGGAGCCCCAAUCCAUCCCCGAGCAAGCUGAGGGCCAGACAAACUACUGGAGGAAGAGGAGACGUGUCAUCAUAGUGGGCGACUCCCUACUGAGAGGAGCAGAGGGAAACAUCUGCUGCCCAGAUCCCAUGGCGCGUGAGGUUGGCUGAUCUCCUACGUCAGGCUUUAAACUAGCUCAGAUUGGGGACGGGGAGGCAGAAGAAGGAGAACAUCAGGAACCUGCAGUCCAUGGGAUGUCCAGCAGUACAGCACAGGGUGUGUCUGCAUUGUGAAAAUCUGCAAGGCAGGGGCAGAAACAGAGAGGCACCAUGCAGUGGUGUGGUCAUCCACCCCACCCCAUUUUUUUGGACCAUGCUGUGGGAGCAGCAAUCAGAGACUUUGAAUUCUGUGAAAUUGGUUUUCAAACAAAGACAAAGCCACCAGACCCAGAUGUCCUGGCUUGGUAUUCAAUGGCCUUGCUACUGCUGUUAGAAUGGCUGUGUGUGCCAGGAACAGUUUCCUGUGCAAUAUCUAUUUAAAAGGAUGUGCCAGCCUCACUAAACAAGCAAAUUUGAUGGAUGUAAUUAGUAUGUCAUUCUGCAGUUGUAACAGAGAUGGUACUUAAAUGCCCAUUAGGCUCAGGAAGUAAUACACUCGGAAGUUAGCACCUCUCUCUCAGGACUUGAUGGAAAGUCCAUAAAAGUCAAAGGGCUUUGGAUCAGGCCUCCAUGCUUUUGUUUGUAUCUUCUUGGAUUUAGACUCAACAAAACCAACUAUGCACCAUUUGCACUGGGAAGGUUAAUCUCACAACCAAAGGGGUUAGAAAUGUGUGCUAUAAAAAUGUUUAGAGUCUGCAGAACACAACAUAUUCUGCAGUUUCUAUGGAGUUUUCUGCAGUGCACUUUUUCUGUUCGUUACACUGCCAAAUCUCCAGUGUAUUAUUCAGAGGUAGAAAUAAAACCAUUGCUCUGCUUUUCCAGGUUCAGUUGCUAGUAGAGUAUGCUGCUUGCUUAUUCUCCAGGAAAAAAAUGGCUUUGUAUCAAAAGUAGAUUCAAGACCAUUUUCGUUUGUAUGAGGCAAGUGCAUCAAUUAUCUGACAUCUCUAAAUUUCGGAUACGUUAGUGGAAGAUCAAGAUAAUCUAAGAAAGAUGAUCAAGCAGGGGUGAUACAUGCUAAUUCCUGUGAGAUCUUGCAGAAGUUACCUUGAAAUUUCUCUGUAAUGCCAUU